rnacentral:rRNA from 1 species
AUUGAACGCUGGCGGCAUGCCUUACACAUGCAAGUCGAACGGCAGCACGGGUGCUUGCACCUGGUGGCGAGUGGCGAACGGGUGAGUAAUACAUCGGAACAUGUCCUGUAGUGGUGGAUAGCCCGGCGAAAGCCGGAUUAAUACCGCAUACGAUCUACGGAUGACAGCGGGGGACCUUCGGGCCUCGCGCUAUAGGGUUGGCCGAUGGCUGAUUAGCUAGUUGGUGGGGUAAAGGCCUACCAAGGCGACGAUCAGUAGCUGGUCUGAGAGGACGACCAGCCACACUGGGACUGAGACACGGCCCAGACUCCUACGGGAGGCAGCAGUGGGGAAUGUUGGACAAUGGGCGAAAGCCUGAUCCAGCAAUGCCGCGUGUGUGAAGAAGGCCUUCGGGUUGUAAAGCACUUUUGUCCGGAAAGAAAUCCUUGGCUCUAAUACAGUCGGGGGAUGACGGUACCGGAAGAAUAAGCACCGGCUAACUACGUG